rnacentral:tmRNA from 1 species
GCGCUUGAACCCGGGCCCGGACGGGCUUAUCUUUGCUGCGUCCCUUCGGGGACUAUGGGCAUAAACGCGCUCGUAAUAAGCGGAUCGGACCCGGGGGCGGUACCCGGCGGCUCCACCAAUACCCGUCGUUGGAGGGACAGGGGGCCGAAACAGGAUCGACGAACGUGUAAAGGAGUGGCUUUGCCCCGGUGAGGUACCACCGUUAUCGGUCCGAAAAGCAUAAUUGCCAACGACAAUCGUGCUCCGAUCGCCCUCGCUGCCUAAGCAGCGCGGAAGAUCGAAACUCAAGUCCUUGCGCCUAGCCGCGUAAGGCGGGGUUCGCAGGCACCUGGCAACAGAAGCCUGCACU